rnacentral:rRNA from 1 species
GAUGAACGCUGGCGGCGUGCUUAACACAUGCAAGUCGAACGAGAAGUGAAGACGGAAACCUUCGGGCGGAAGGCUUUAUUUCGAGUGGCGGACGGGUGAGUAACGCGUGGGUAACCUGCCUCAUACAGGGGGAUAACAGUUGGAAACGACUGUUAAUACCGCAUAAGACCACAGCACCGCAUGGUGCGGGGGUAAAAACUCCGGUGGUAUGAGAUGGACCCGCGUUCGAUUAGCCAGUUGGCGGGGUAACGGCCCACCAAAGCGACGAUCGAUAGCCGAGCUGAGAGGAUGACCGGCCACAUUGGGACUGAGACACGGCCCAAACUCCUACGGGAGGCAGCAGUGGGGAAUAUUGCACAAUGGGGGAAACCCUGAUGCAGCGACGCCGCGUGAGUGAAGAAGUAUUUCGGUAUGUAAAGCUCUAUCAGCUGGGAAGAAAAUGACGGUACCUGAGGAAGAAGCCCCGGCUAACUACGUG